rnacentral:rRNA from 1 species
CUGCCAGUAGUCAUAUGCUUGUCUCAAAGAUUAAGCCAUGCAUGUCUAAGUAUAAGCAAUUUAUACAGUGAAACUGCGAAUGGCUCAUUAAAUCAGUUAUCGUUUAUUUGAUAGUACCUUACUACUUGGAUAACCGUGGUAAUUCUAGAGCUAAUACAUGCUUAAAAUCCCGACUGUUUGGAAGGGAUGUAUUUAUUAGAUAAAAAAUCAAUGCCUUCGGGCUCUUUGAUGAUUCAUAAUAACUUUUCGAAUCGCAUGGCCUUGUGCUGGCGAUGGUUCAUUCAAAUUUCUGCCCUAUCAACUUUCGAUGGUAGGAUAGUGGCCUACCAUGGUAUCAACGGGUAACGGGGAAUUAGGGUUCUAUUCCGGAGAGGGAGCCUGAGAAACGGCUACCACAUCCAAGGAAGGCAGCAGGCGCGCAAAUUACCCAAUCCCGACACGGGGAGGUAGUGACAAUAAAUAACGAUACAGGGCCCUUUUGGGUCUUGUAAUUGGAAUGAGUACAAUUUAAAUCCCUUAACGAGGAACAAUUGGAGGGCAAGUCUGGUGCCAGCAGCCGCGGUAAUUCCAGCUCCAAUAGCGUAUAUUAAAGUUGUUGCGGUUAAAACGUUCGUAGUUGAACUUGUGCUUCAUACGGGUAGUACAACUUACAAUUGUGGUUAGUACUAUACCUUUAUGUAUGUAAGCGUAUUACCGGUGGAGUUCUUAUAUGUGAUUAAAUACUUGUAUUUUUUCAUAUGUUCCUCCUAUUUAAAAACCUGCAUUAGUGCUCUUAAACGAGUGUUAUUGUGGGCCGGUACUAUUACUUUGAACAAAUUAGAGUGCUUAAAGCAGGCUUCAAAUGCCUGAAUAUUCUGUGCAUGGGAUAAUGAAAUAAGACCUCUGUUCUGCUUUCAUUGGUUUUCAGAUCAAGAGGUAAUGAUUAAUAGAAGCAGUUUGGGGGCAUUAGUAUUACGACGCGAGAGGUGAAAUUCUUGGACCGUCGUAAGACUAACUUAAGCGAAAGCAUUUGCCAAAGAUGUUUUCAUUAAUCAAGAACGAAAGUUAGAGGUUCGAAGGCGAUCAGAUACCGCCCUAGUUCUAACCAUAAACGAUGCCAGCUAGCAAUUGGGUGUAGCUACUUUUAUGGCUCUCUCAGUCGCUUCCCGGGAAACCAAAGCUUUUGGGCUCCGGGGGAAGUAUGGUUGCAAAGCUGAAACUUAAAGGAAUUGACGGAAGGGCACCACCAGGAG